rnacentral:rRNA from 1 species
AGUGAACGCUGGCGGCAGGCCUAACACAUACAAGUCGAACGGCAGCACAGUAAGAGCUUGCUCUUACGGGUGGCGAGUGGCGGACGGGUGAGGAAUACAUCGGAAUCUACUUUUUCGUGGGGGAUAACGUAGGGAAACUUACGCUAAUACCGCAUACGACCUACGGGUGAAAGCAGGGGAUCUUCGGACCUUGCGCGAUUGAAUGAGCCGAUGUCGGAUUAGCUAGUUGGCGGGGUAAAGGCCCACCAAGGCGACGAUCCGUAGCUGGUCUGAGAGGAUGAUCAGCCACACUGGAACUGAGACACGGUCCAGACUCCUACGGGAGGCAGCAGUGGGGAAUAUUGGACAAUGGGCGCAAGCCUGAUCCAGCCAUACCGCGUGGGUGAAGAAGGCCUUCGGGUUGUAAAGCCCUUUUGUUGGGAAAGAAAAGCAGCAGGUUAAUACCCCGCUGUUCUGACGGUACCCAAAGAAUAAGCACCGGCUAACUUCGUG